UGCGAUACAGGGUGACAGCCCCGUACACAAAAAUGCACAUAUUGUGAGCUUGAUGAGUAGGGCGGGACACGUGGUAUCCUGUCUGAAUAUGGGGGGACCAUCCUCCAAGGCUAAAUACUCCUGACUGACCGAUAGUGAACCAGUACCGUGAGGGAAAGGCGAAAAGAACCCCGGCGAGGGGAGUGAAAAAGAACCUGAAACCGUGUACGUACAAGCAGUGGGAGCACGCUUAGGCGUGUGACUGCGUACCUUUUGUAUAAUGGGUCAGCGACUUAUAUUCUGUAGCAAGGUUAACCGAAUAGGGGAGCCGAAGGGAAACCGAGUCUUAACUGGGCGUUAAGUUGCAGGGUAUAGACCCGAAACCCGGUGAUCUAGCCAUGGGCAGGUUGAAGGUUGGGUAACACUAACUGGAGGACCGAACCGACUAAUGUUGAAAAAUUAGCGGAUGACUUGUGGCUGGGGGUGAAAGGCCAAUCAAACCGGGAGAUAGCUGGUUCUCCCCGAAAGCUAUUUAGGUAGCGCCUCGUGAAUUCAUCUCCGGGGGUAGAGCACUGUUUCGGCA
rnacentral:rRNA from 1 species